rnacentral:piRNA from 1 species
UAAUUACCACGCCCUCCUGUGCUUG